rnacentral:rRNA from 1 species
UGUAAGCGUAUACCAAAGUUGUUGCAGUUAAAACGCUCGUAGUCGGAAUUUGGCAGUUCCGGAUGUGUGCGCGUCGUGUGCGCACUUCGCGGGGAUUGCUUUUGUGGUCUUGCGUAGGAUGAGGCACUUUUAUUAGUGAACGUCCUCACGCAACCACUUUUUACUGUGAGAAAAUCAGAGUGCUCAAAGCAGGCAUUUGCCGCGAAUGUAUUAGCAUGGAAUAAUAGAAUAGGACUUGGUUCUAUUUUGUUGGUUUGUUGGGACUGAGUAAUGAUUAAGAGGGACAGUUGGGGGCAUUUGUAUUUCGGUGCUAGAGGUGAAAUUCUUAGAUUACCGAAAGACAAACUGCUGCGAAAGCGUCUGCCAAGGAUGUUUUCAUUGA